GGAAGUGUGCCUGAGCACGAUCCACAGGACUACUUUGAUAGAGUAUAAUACGAGGGUUAAAAUCCCCCCACUUCCC
rnacentral:tRNA from 1 species